UCAUACGUAGGACCCAAGCGUUAUUCGGAUUGACUGGGCGUAAAGAGUUGCGUAGGUGGUAUUUUAAGCGAAUAGUGAAAUCUUGUGGCUCAACCAUAAGGCUAUUAUUCGAACUGAAUUACUCGAGAGCGGGAGAGGUAUCUGGAAUUCUUAGUGUAGGGGUAAAAUCCGUAGAUACUAGGAGGAACACCAAUGGCGUAGGCAGGAUACUGGCCCGUUUCUGACACUAAGGCACGAAAGCGUGGGGAGCGAACCGGAUUAGAUACCCGGGUAGUCCACGCCGUAAACUAUGGAUACUAGCUGUAUGCCGUAUCGACCCGGUAUGUAGCGAAGCUAACGCGUUAAGUAUCCCGCCUGGGGAGUACGGUCGCAAGACUA
rnacentral:rRNA from 1 species